UUCAAGCUCAUCUUCUCUCAGUCCCCGGUGUUUCUUAACGUACUAUAUGUAGUGUGUGUUCGUUGUUUAGAUUCUGGUCGUGUGUCCGGAAAGACCUUUUUCCCUCUCACUUUGAGCCUUCAUUGGGUCCGCAGAAUGGAACAGAGCCAACGAGCGAGGAGGUUCCAUGAGCUCAGGCCAGUGAUGAGAGUUGGAACACACCAGGAGCUCGGAGAGAAGAAGUAGGGAUCGAGCAACGCUCAGGGAGGACGAGAUAGCUUACAUUCAACGAGACGACGCUAAUGUAAACAGCACAAAUUGAACAAGUCGUAAAUGGGAGGAAAAAUUUAAUAACCUUCAUGGCUGUCUCAGUGUUCACAAACGUCUAAAUACAAGUGGAAUUCGAGCUCAAGGAGAUUUUGGAACGGCAUCCCUUUCAAUGGCCAUGAGUGAACUUCGCCCUGAUUUGGUUCCAUUCAACACCAUUCCGUUGGACGUCAUUGGGUGUGGUUGUCAAGAUGCCAAGAACUGCUCUUGUCCCAGCGACGGAGGCGGAUGCCGAAAUGGCUUCUGUUUCUGUCCUUCAAGUGGUCGAUUGGAAUUUGAGGACAGGCGAUGUCACCCUGCCUUCCAGAACAGCGAAGGCAUCGGCCUCUCUAACAAAUGUCCCAUACCUUGCUCGUGUGGUUGCCGAUCCUCGGAAAUAUGUGGACUUGAUGGUCGGUGUUAUUGUCCAGAUGGAACGCUCGUGGUCCCACUAGUUAAUGGAACAGAUCACUUAGUUGGACACAACCAAACUUGUCCCAAAAUAAUUUCAACAACGGACCAAGUGCCGUCAGUGAUCUCUUCACAAGAAGAUCAGGCAGCGAUUUCCAUUCAAACUGAGAUUUUGUCGAUCUUUGCAUUUGGCUUUCUGGUCCUGUUCUUGACGUCCAUUAUUGUCUACUUUCUACGAAGACAGGAUCAUCGAAGAAAACGACAAUUUCAUUCUUGUCACCGAAAUAAUCAGUCCUUGAUGAUGGAUGGUUCGCCAAUGGCGAUGGCAAUGACCUCCAAUGAGCUGUAUGAAAGUGGCAGACUACUCUCACCAGAGACUUUAAGUCUCUUCGGUUCCAAAUUAAUUGAACAAGAUCGGCUCCAACUGCAAGAACAGGUUGGUCAAGGCAACUUUGGAACCGUUCACCGAGGACUACUUUCGUCUUCGAAUGGUUCGACCUCGACGGAAGUGGCAAUCAAAAUUCCACGAAUAUCAGCCAAACAAACCAGCAGUCUUAAGGAUUUCUACUUGGAAGCUCAAAUUGCCACCACUUUCGAUCACGAAAACAUUCUCUCGUGUCUUGGCAUCUCAGCAAAUCCCAAUGAAGCCCCUUGGUUGGUGUUCGAGUAUAUGCCUUUCGGAGAUUUGGCCGAGGUUUUGCGGUCCAACAGCGGGGUGCCUUCUUUGCAGAGGCAAGAUCUGCCUAUUCUCGAAAUGUCGGAUCUCUGGUGGCUAAGUCUACAAGUCGCUCAAGGUAUGAAAUAUUUGGGCGAUCUUCGCUACACACACCGUGACCUGGCCGCUCGCAAUUGUCUACUUGGGCGCGAUUUGAGACUGAAGAUCUCGGAUUUUGGCCUCACCCGGGACAUCUAUACCAACGAGUAUUAUCAGAUGGGAGAACAUCGGCUCCUGCCCAUUCGAUGGAUGUCGCCCGAGAGCAUUCAGUUUGGAAAGUUCUCGCCUGAGUCAGAUAUUUGGUCGUAUGGGGUGGUGUUGUGGGAGAUCUUCUCCUUUGGGAAAAGGCCCUACUUUUCUUAUUCAAAUCAAGAGGUGAGCGCAAACACCGAGCCAUGAAUGGAAACGUUGGCAACCUUGGCCAAAUGCCAAUCCGAUGGGACCCAAGGAAAGAGAGGGACUCUUUUGGGCAUUUCCCUUGAUGUUGAGCCGGUCGUGGAAAGUGAUGGUCAGGGAAGACGACGAGAACGAAGGCCUCCUCUUUUUUGGCUUUGCAUCUUAAUACGUUCUUUCGUAAUGCAUUCACUGUGUGUACUGUGUAUGCAGUCUGUUACUAGUGCAACGUAACGUCCGUCUGAAGUACCAAUUAGAGUGAAAGACUGUCCAUUUCACAAAUUGGCUAGUUGAGAUAUUUGAAUUACUUUGGGCGAAAGGAAAUAUGUACGGUGGACAAAUACAACUUCAUCCUAUGUAGAACUUGAGGAAUAACAACUGAUGUUUCCAGAAACAAGUUCAAUUGAUAUGAAAAAAGGUGGCCGAACUACUGCCUCAAUGCAAGAUUCACCUCACGCCACCAGAGUCAUGUCCAGACCUUUUAAAGUCCAUCAUGCUAUCCUGUCUCGAACUCGAGGCUCAAGAUCGGAUUCGAUUUCCCGA